UACGGAGGGUGCAAGCGUUAUCCGGAUUCACUGGGUUUAAAGGGUGCGUAGGUGGGCAGGUAAGUCAGUGGUGAAAUCUCCGGGCUUAACCCGGAAACUGCCAUUGAUACUAUCUGUCUUGAAUACCGUGGAGGUGAGCGGAAUAUGUCAUGUAGCGGUGAAAUGCUUAGAUAUGACAUAGAACACCAAUUGCGAAGGCAGCUCACUACGCGAAUAUUGACACUGAGGCACGAAAGCGUGGGGAUCAA
rnacentral:rRNA from 1 species